rnacentral:rRNA from 1 species
UACAGAGGUCUCAAGCGUUGUUCGGAUUCAUUGGGCGUAAAGGGUGCGUAGGCGGCGCGGUAAGUCGGGUGUGAAAUCUCGGAGCUUAACUCCGAAACUGCAUUCGAUACUGCCGUGCUUGAGGACUGGAGAGGAGACUGGAAUUUACGGUGUAGCGGUGAAAAUGCGUAGAUAUCGUAAGGAAGACCAGUGGCGAAGGCGGGGUCUCUGGACAGUUCCUGACGCUGAGGCACGAAGGUCAGGGGGAGCAAAACGGGG